AGAGUUUGAUCCUGGCUCAGGAUGAACGCUGGCGGCGUGCCUAACACAUGCAAGUCGAGCGGUAUAUAUUGGAAUGAAACUUCGGUCGAGUGAAGAUAUAGAGAGCGGCGGACGGGUGAGUAACGCGUAGGCAACCUGCCCCAUACAGAGGGAUAGCCUCGGGAAACCGGGAUUAAAACCUGAUAAUGCAAGAGUUCUCAUGGACUUUUGGCCAAAGAUUUAUCGGUAUGGGAUGGGCCUGCGUCUGAUUAGCUAGUUGGUGAGGUAACGGCUCACCAAGGCAACGAUCAGUAGCCGACCUGAGAGGGUAAUCGGCCACAUUGGAACUGAGACACGGUCCAAACUCCUACGGGAGGCAGCAGUGGGGAAUAUUGCACAAUGGGCGAAAGCCUGAUGCAGCAACGCCGCGUGAGCGAUGAAGGCCUUUGGGUCGUAAAGCUCUGUCCUUGGGGAAGAAAAAAUGACGGUACCCUUGGAGGAAGCCCCGGCUAACUACGUGCCAGCAGCCGCGGUAAUACGUAGGGGGCAAGCGUUAUCCGGAAUUAUUGGGCGUAAAGAGUGCGUAGGUGGUUUUAUAAGCGCGAGGUGAAAGGCAAUGGCUCAACUAUUGUAAGCCUUGCGAACUGUAAGACUUGAGUGCAGGAGAGGAAAGUGGAAUUCCUAGUGUAGCGGUGAAAUGCGUAGAUAUUAGGAGGAACACCAGUGGCGAAGGCGACUUUCUGGCUGUAACUGACACUGAGGCACGAAAGCGUGGGGAGCAAACAGGAUUAGAUACCCUGGUAGUCCACGCCGUAAACGAUGAGCACUAGGUGUCGGGGUCGCAAGGCUUCGGUGCCGCAGUUAACGCAUUAAGUGCUCCGCCUGGGGAGUACGCACGCAAGUGUGAAACUCAAAGGAAUUGACGGGGACCCGCACAAGCAGCGGAGCAUGUGGUUUAAUUCGAAGCAACGCGAAGAACCUUACCGGGAUUGACAUCCCUCUGACCGGUCCGUAACGGGACCUUCCCUUCGGGGCAGAGGUGACAGGUGGUGCAUGGUUGUCGUCAGCUCGUGUCGUGAGAUGUUGGGUUAAGUCCCGCAACGGGCGCAACCCUUGUCAUUAGUUUGCUACAUUCAGUUGGGCACUCUAAUGGGACUGCCGGUGACAAACCGGAGGAAGGUGGGGAUGACGUCAAGUCCUCAUGGCCCUUAUAGGUGGGGCUACACACGUCCUACAAUGGCCGGUACAAAGGGUUGCGAUCCGCGAGGGGUAGCAAACCCCAUAAAGCCAGUCGUAGUCCGGAUUGUAGUCUGCAACUCGACUACGUGAAGUCGGAAUCGCUAGUAAUCGUGGAUCAGAAUGUCACGGUGAAUACGUUCCCGGGUCUUGUACACACCGCCCGUCACACCAUGGGAGCGGGUUCUGCCAGAAGUAGUUAGCCUAACCGCAAGGAGGGCGAUUACCACGGCAGGGUUCGUGACUGGGGUGAAGUCGUAACAAGGUAACC
rnacentral:rRNA from 1 species